UUAUUACUCCCUCCGUCCGUAUCAAGUGCUGAAAUGUUACAUGUAUCUAGACGCUUUUUAGAUAUAGAUACAUUCAUAUUUGGACAAAUUUGAGUCAUUUAAUAUGGGACGGAGGGAGUAUAAC
rnacentral:pre_miRNA from 1 species